rnacentral:miRNA from 1 species
GGGCCAGUGGCCUCCUAGGCCUGCAGGCCUGGCCAGCCCAGGCUUCAGGCCCUGGGUCUGUGGGG